UUUUUUUUUUUUUUAAUAUUAGAUUUUUAUUUUAAUUUUUUUUUUUUUUUUUUUAAAUAUUCAUAUUACAAUAAGUAAUUAUAACAUAACAAUUUUACAAUAUUGAAAUUCCCGGAGCGAGCAACUCAUUCCCACUUUGUGCAAUCUUCUAGAUAAUCAUUGACUUUAUAGUAAGCUUUAUUGCACAGAUGUUCUUUAAUAGUUUUCUUAAACCUAUGUAUAUGUAGGUUCUGAACAUCUUGUGGGAUUUUGUUGUACAGGCGCACAGACAAACACCCGAAUGAAUUUCGUAUCUUAUGUAACCUACUCAUCGGCACAACAAGCUUGUGUUUGUUCCUAGUAUUUCUAUUAUGUAUGUCCGACAUCUUAGGAAACUCCUCAAUAUGUUUACGAACAUACUUCGAUCAAUAAUACUACUAGAUCCGCGAUUAGCGCUUCAAAAGCGGCCCGAAAAAUAAGACCACAAAUAAAUUUGUGGUCUUAUUUCAAAUUAGUAUGGUCCAAUCAUAGCCAACACUAAGACGUCAAAACGCUGCAAUGCGCGUUCAAAAACUGAGUAAAAAACCACCGUAACACCAAGGUUUUGGAAGGAAUAUCUUUUUUUGAUUUCCUAGUAGCCCCUUGUCGCUGUGCACAAUGGAUAUGUAUUGUCGCGAAAGAAAGAGGAGAAGAAAUAUAGAACUCUUUUAAAAAUUCUAGAAUUGUUCAAUGGUGGUGGCAAAUCAAUGCAAAAAAGUAUUAAAAAAACUUUAUAUGUAUGUGUAAAUAUUUUAAGCGUAUAUGCUGAAAAGGAUUUGUUUUCUGGGGGAAACGAACACAGCCAUAAAAUAAGCCUAAAUUAAACUGAUUAUAGAAAAAUUCAUUGAUAUAAGAUUACAUUAUAUUUGUAAAAAAGAAACCGCUCAUAUAAAAAUGACUUCUAAAAGACAGCUUUAUAACAAACUGAAUCUGUUUAAAGGUAAUUAAACCUACAUUAUUGUUUUAAUUACUUCUGUAUAAAGAAUACGUGGAAAACAUGUUUCGUGUUUCCUUUCAUAUUUUUUUUUACUUUAUUCAAUUUUAUUUUUUAUCACCUAUUUGUUGUAAUAGCGGCAAUGUAAAAUAUUAUCUACUACUUUUUUGAAUCGGUCAAAAAUAGUUGCGACCAUACAAAACAAACCUAAAACAAAUAUGUAUAUUCUGCAACUCUAUGUCUUUCAAUACUUACUGUGUUCUGAGCAUUGAAAUGUAAUACCAAGAACUACAUCUUGUUCCACAAUACAAUAAGCACGAAAUUUUAAACAAAUAUUUUUAACCUUAUAAAUUAGGCUUUAAGUAUCAUUUUAGAAUAAAUAUUUUUGUACUGAUGACUUUUUAUGUUCAAGUGACAUUUUAAAUUUAUUCCAUAAUAUUCUUUUUCUGACGAAAGGACCUAAAUACAUAUAUUUUGCAAUGGUAAUUAAACUUUAUGUUUAAGUAUUAAGGUUUAUAAUAAACUGAAGUCGUUAACAUUAUUAAA